GACGAACGCUGGCGGCGUGCUUAACACAUGCAAGUCGAACGGAAAGGCCCUGCUUUUGUGGGGUGCUCGAGUGGCGAACGGGUGAGUAACACGUGAGUAACCUGCCCUUGACUUUGGGAUAACUUCAGGAAACUGGGGCUAAUACCGGAUAGGAGCUCCUGCUGCAUGGUGGGGGUUGGAAAGUUUCGGCGGUUGGGGAUGGACUCGCGGCUUAUCAGCUUGUUGGUGGGGUAGGGGCUUACCAAGGCUUUGACGGGUAGCCGGCCUGAGAGGGUUACCGGCCACAUUGGGACUGAGAUACGGACCAGACUGCUACGGGAGGCAGCAGGGGGGAAUAUUGCACAAUGGGCGGAAGCCUGAUGCAGCAACGCCGCGUGCGGGAUGACGGCCUUCGGGUUGUAAACCGCUGUCGCCUGUGACGAAGCGUGAGUGACGGUAAUGGGUAAAGAAGCACCGGCUAACUACGUG
rnacentral:rRNA from 1 species